AAGUAAUGAAGUAAUAAUUACAUUUAGUUUCGACCUAAAAAUUAGAGAUAUAUUUCUCCUUACUUU
rnacentral:tRNA from 1 species